rnacentral:rRNA from 1 species
CUGACUGCUAUCGGAUUGAUACUAAGCCAUGCGAGUCAUUGUAGUAAUACAAGGCAGACGGCUCAGCAACGCGUAGUCACCUAACCUAUGGACGGGAAUAACCUCGGGAAACUGAGUAUAAUGCCCGAUAGAACAUUAUGCCUGGAAUGGUUUAUGUUCCAAACGAUUUAUCGCCGUAGGAUGGGACUGCGGCCUAUCAGUUUGUUGGUGAGGUAAUGGCCCACCAAGACUAUUACAGGUACGGGCUCUGAGAGGAGUAGCCCGGAGAUGGGUACUGAGACACGGACCCAGGCCCUAUGGGGCGCAGCAGGCGAGAAAACUUUGCAAUGUGCGAAAGCACGACAAGGUUAAUCCGAGUGGUUUCUGCUAAAGGAACCUUUUGUCGGUCCUAGAAACACCGAUGAAUAAGGGGUGGGCAAGUUCUGGUGUCAGCCGCCGCGGUAAAACCAGCACCUCAAGUGGUCAGGAUGAUUAUUGGGCCUAAAGCAUCCGUAGCCGGCUCUGUUAGUUUUCGGUUAAAUCUGUACGCUCAACGUACAGGCUGCCGGGAAUACUGCAAAGCUAGGGAGUGGGAGAGGUAGACGGUACUCGGUAGGAAGGGGUAAAAUCCUUUGAUCUAUUGAUGACCACCUGUGGCGAAGGCGGUCUACCAGAACACGUCCGACGGUGAGGGAUGAAAGCUGGGGGAGCAAACCGGGAUUAGAUACCCGGGUAGUCCCAGCUGUAAACUAUGCAAACUCAGUGAUGCAUUGGCUUGUGGCCAAUGCAGUGCUGCAGGGAAGCCGUUAAGUUUGCCGCCUGGGAAGUACGUACGCAAGUAUGAAACUUAA